rnacentral:rRNA from 1 species
UGCAAGUCGAACGCGUUGGCCCAAUUGAUUGAUGGUGCUUGCACCUGAUUGAUUUUGGUCGCCAACGAGUGGCGGACGGGUGAGUAACACGUAGGUAACCUGCCCAGAAGCGGGGGACAACAUUUGGAAACAGAUGCUAAUACCGCAUAACAGCGUUGUUCGCAUGAACAACGCUUAAAAGAUGGCUUCUCGCUAUCACUUCUGGAUGGACCUGCGGUGCAUUAGCUUGUUGGUGGGGUAACGGCCUACCAAGGCGAUGAUGCAUAGCCGAGUUGAGAGACUGAUCGGCCACAAUGGGACUGAGACACGGCCCAUACUCCUACGGGAGGCAGCAGUAGGGAAUCUUCCACAAUGGGCGCAAGCCUGAUGGAGCAACACCGCGUGAGUGAAGAAGGGUUUCGGCUCGUAAAGCUCUGUUGUUAAAGAAGAACACGUAUGAGAGUAACUGUUCAUACGUUGACGGUAUUUAACCAGAAAGUCACGGCUAACUACGUGCCAGCAGCCGCGGUAAUACGUAGGUGGCAAGCGUUAUCCGGAUUUAUUGGGCGUAAAGAGAGUGCAGGCGGUUUUCUAAGUCUGAUGUGAAAGCCUUCGGCUUAACCGGAGAAGUGCAUCGGAAACUGGAUAACUUGAGUGCAGAAGAGGGUAGUGGAACUCCAUGUGUAGCGGUGGAAUGCGUAGAUAUAUGGAAGAACACCAGUGGCGAAGGCGGCUACCUGGUCUGCAACUGACGCUGAGACUCGAAAGCAUGGGUAGCGAACAGGAUUAGAUACCCUGGUAGUCCAUGCCGUAAACGAUGAGUGCUAGGUGUUGGAGGGUUUCCGCCCUUCAGUGCCGGAGCUAACGCAUUAAGCACUCCGCCUGGGGAGUACGACCGCAAGGUUGAAACUCAAAGGAAUUGACGGGGGCCCGCACAAGCGGUGGAGCAUGUGGUUUAAUUCGAAGCUACGCGAAGAACCUUACCAGGUCUUGACAUCUUGCGCCAACCCUAGAGAUAGGGCGUUUCCUUCGGGAACGCAAUGACAGGUGGUGCAUGGUCGUCGUCAGCUCGUGUCGUGAGAUGUUGGGUUAAGUCCCGCAACGAGCGCAACCCUUGUUACUAGUUGCCAGCAUUAAGUUGGGCACUCUAGUGAGACUGCCGGUGACAAACCGGAGGAAGGUGGGGACGACGUCAGAUCAUCAUGCCCCUUAUGACCUGGGCUACACACGUGCUACAAUGGACGGUACAACGAGUCGCGAACUCGCGAGGGCAAGCAAAUCUCUUAAAACCGUUCUCAGUUCGGACUGCAGGCUGCAACUCGCCUGCACGAAGUCGGAAUCGCUAGUAAUCGCGGAUCAGCAUGCCGCGGUGAAUACGUUCCCGGGCCUUGUACACACCGCCCGUCACACCAUGAGAGUUUGUAACACCCAAAGUCGGUGGGGUAACCUUUUAGGAGCCAGCCGCC